rnacentral:misc_RNA from 1 species
CAGAAGCAAAGCUUUAAAUCAAUAACUUUAACUAUGCUGAUGGAAAACAUAAUUCAAAUUCUGAUAAAACAUUAGAAAAAUAUAUAAUAGACAACGAAGAGUAACAAAAAUAUAAUCCACAUUGUUUGGCCCAAUUAAAGGAGACUACAGAAUAGAAGAAAAUUUGAUUUGGGAAAUCUAUAUUCUAAAUUAAUUAUUGAACAUCAGGUGCUAGCAAAGAAGCCAAUGGAUG